rnacentral:rRNA from 1 species
AGCGAACGCUGGCGGCAGGCCUAAUACAUGCAAGUCGAGCGCCCCUUCGGGGGAGCGGCGGACGGGUGAGUAACGCGUGGGAACGUGCCCUUUGGUACGGAACAACUGAGGGAAACUUCAGCUAAUACCGUAUGUGCCCUUCGGGGGAAAGAUUUAUCGCCAUUGGAGCGGCCCGCGUUGGAUUAGCUAGUUGGUGAGGUAAAGGCUCACCAAGGCUACGAUCCAUAGCUGGUCUGAGAGGAUGAUCAGCCACACUGGGACUGAGACACGGCCCAGACUCCUACGGGAGGCAGCAGUAGGGAAUCUUGCGCAAUGGGCGAAAGCCUGACGCAGCCAUGCCGCGUGAAUGAUGAAGGUCUUAGGAUUGUAAAAUUCUUUCACCGGGGAAGAUAAUGACGGUACCCGGAGAAGAAGCCCCGGCUAACUUCGUGC